AUGCCUAACCUAUACGGCUGCAUCCCCAAGCGACGACGGACGACGAGAACAGUGGCGGACGGGCUCAAUGGCAACUCCUGGGCACGCGACAUCCAAGGCAACCUCGGCCUCCACGAGAUUGGUCAGUAUCUGCAGCUCUGGCAGAUCAUGCAGCGCGCCGAGCUCUCCGCCACACCGGACAGGUUGAUCUGGAGAUGGACAGCGAGCGGCAACUACUCCGCGCAGUCCUGCUACAUGGCCACCUUCCAUGGAUCAACGGUCUGCUAUUCCUGGAAGAUAAUCUGGAAAUGCUGGGCACCGCUGAGAGUCAAGUUCUUCCACUGGCUGGCCAACCAGGACCGGUGCUGGACUGCAGAGAGGGUGGCUCGUCACGGACUCCAGCAUCACCCCCGCUGCCUCCUGUGUGACCAGCAGCCGGAAACGUUGCGACAUCUGCUGCUGGAAUGUCCCCUCGCCCGACAGGCAUGGCACGAGACACUGGCCUGGCUACGCAUCCAGCCCCGACCCCCACGCAGGAACUGUCGCUUAUGGACUGGUGGAAACAUGCCAAGGACGACACGCCGCCGAUCCUACGCAAGGCCCUGA
rnacentral:rRNA from 1 species